UACAGAGGUCCCAAGCGUUGUUCGGAUUCACUGGGCGUAAAGGGUGCGUAGGUGGCGGGGUAAGUCGGAUGUGAAAGCUCGGAGCUCAACUCCGAAAUUGCAUUGGAAACUACCUUGCUCGAGGGUUGGAGGGGGGACUGGAAUGCUUGGUGUAGCAGUGAAAUGCGUAGAUAUCAAGCGGAACACCAGUGGCGAAGGCGAGUCCCUGGACAACUCCUGACACUGAGGCACGAAAGCUAGGGGAGCAAACAGG
rnacentral:rRNA from 1 species